rnacentral:misc_RNA from 1 species
AAGUCGUAACAAGGUUUCCGUAGGUGAACCUGCGGAAGGAUCAUUACUGAGAUAGGGUCCUUCGGGCCCGACCUCCAACCCUUUGUCUACCUUACCACUGUUGCCUCGGCGGGUCGCCGGCGCCCUUACGGGCGUCGCCGUCGGCCUUCGCGCUCUCGAGUGCCCGCCAGUAGGCCUCUUAAAACCCUUUAUAAACUAGUAAUCUGAAGAGUAUAUUUAAUACUUAAAAC